UACGAAGGGGGCUAGCGUUGCUCGGAAUCACUGGGCGUAAAGCGCACGUAGGCGGAUUGUUAAGUCAGGGGUGAAAUCCUGGAGCUCAACUCCAGAACUGCCUUUGAUACUGGCGAUCUCGAGUCCGGGAGAGGUGAGUGGAACUGCGAGUGUAGAGGUGAAAUUCGUAGAUAUUCGCAAGAACACCAGUGGCGAAGGCGGCUCACUGGCCCGGUACUGACGCUGAGGUGCGAAAGCGCGGGGAGCAAACAGG
rnacentral:rRNA from 1 species